CUCAGUUGCUUCUCUUUGUUGAUAUUCGUUCUUCCACUGUCGUCUGUAUCCUAAUUCUUUUUUAUAACAUCAGCAUAGGGUUCAAGCUUUUCUAAAGCACGCAAACAGAUCUAGGGCUUGAAUUGGUUUGGUGAUAUCUCCGCAACCGCUGGCGUUUCCUACGGUGGUGAAUAACACAUGUUUAAAUCAGAAACCGAAUCAAGUUAUCUAGGGUUUCUUUCUUCUUCUUCUUCUCUGUACCUAUAACCACCACUGCAAAAGGUUCUAAUAUCUGAUCAACACUGGCUGAAGAAGUAAGCUAUUACACAAAUACAAUCUUAUUUUACAAUAUCAAUAGUUCUCGUGAUCCACUCUGCUUCCUGCAUCUAUUCGCAGACCAGAAGGCGUUUUUGAAGCAACCGAAAGUCUUCAUCUGGUUAGAAGCGGACCCUAGACCUCUAAGUUUAGUUCGAAGAAGAGCGGCAAAGGAAAAAGGUCUGGAAAUGGGGAAGUAGUUCCAGAAGAGUAUUGGUCUUGGAUUUAACCUGAGAGAGGCUAUUAAAGUUUCAACGACUCAGAUUAAAGCAACGUACACCUGCUGCUACCAGUGAUGUUCCAUCCACCUUUUUUUCUGCCCAAACUUGGUAGAACUCUAGGGGAAAGCUUCUCUUCAACCCAAAAGAACUCAAAUCACUGAAGCGGAGAUU